rnacentral:rRNA from 1 species
UACAGAGACUGCAAGCGUUAUUCGGAUUUACUGGGCGUAAAGGGCGCGUAGGCGGCAAAUCAAGUCAGCUGUGAAAUCUCCGAGCUUAACUCGGAACGGUCAGCUGAUACUGUUUUUUGCUAGAGUGCAGAAAGGGCAAUCGGAAUUCUUGGUGUAGCGGUGAAAUGCGUAGAUAUCAAGAGGAACACCUGAGGCGAAGGCGGGUUGCUAGGCUGACACUGACGCUGAGGCGCGAAAGCUAGGGAGCAAACAGG